AAGUGAGGGCUUUGCCUAGGCAGGAGGGGGUUGUGCAUAAAUAUACAAGCGAUAAAGUAAACUGAGACGCGUAGCCAAGAGAAUAACUAAUAAGAGAACAAAACAAAAUGUCAUGCCCCUCCCAUUUGAAUAAGAAUGAAGGGCGGGAAUAAAUAAAUAUCAAAACUGAAUAAUUGUUAUUUUUGUCAAAAAAGGAAAGAAAAAAAUUACGCCAGGAGGAAAAUUGGUCUUCUUGAGGAUCGCUGCCAACCAGUGUAGCCAAAUGUGGACCACCUAUUUCGGUUUGGAGAACUGGCUUAAUCUCCAAGCCUGUUCGUGCGUUAGAUGGAAAGUUCUGUCACCACUCAAGUGCAGAAGGAGCAUAUUCAGCUGUCGACAGUUACAGGAACAGGAAUAAUCCUUUGUCCUAAACACUUGCAAGUUGAAACAUCCCCUAAAAACUCAACAGCUAUUUAUAAGCACAAGAUGAUCAACAGCCACCGCUGCCUUCCCAAGAUGCCUUGCUAUGAUUCAAGGACAAGAGACCCACUUCCCAGUUCCUGGGAUGCUGUCCUCCACCAGCGUGGGACCUAUUGGCAGAUUUGUUUGGUCAUAAAUGGGGCGAGAUGGGACCCUGGUCCUCAGCUCCAUUCAGCCCAUUAGCGAAAGCAGAUCUCAGCCUUCCUGUGAAAACAGAAUGGAGAGAUUCACACGUCAGGUUCCCGUGUUGUUGUGGUUUGAAGAUGUGAAAGAAAGGAGACUAAACUGCUGGACCUCAUAACUGUUUUCAGACUCAGAUCAAGCUGAAGAUCAGGUUUCACCGUGGACUGGAGGAGCUUUGAGCUCCAUUAGUGCUGGAAUGCAAGCUGAUCACCAUCCGAGCACUGACAUGCAGUUUUACCCAGAUGUUCUUGUUUGUUUGUUUAUUUGUUUGUUUUUGAGGCUGCGAACUCCGCCCAAGUUGAAUAAAUUAGCUGUUAAAAGAGCUGUUUUACAGGGCACACAGGGCUGUGUACAUCAUGGUGUUGACUUAAUGGGUUCAUCAAGCAGGCAUAACAAACCCGUCUUGGCACCUGCACAAAUAUGUAGUUUUUCUUCAUGUUCUGCUACACCUAUGUUCUUUCCACAGAGCGCUGAAGUGUCGAGAAAGGGGUUUGAAUUUGCAGAUAUAUUUAAAAAGGAUUGUUUAUUACCAUAGCAACAGUAUUUUGUCAAUAAAGUAAUUUGUACUCAUUACUUUCUUAUUUUCUUAUUGUAUUUUCCUCAAAGCAGGUCUCUUACGGAAAUUCCAUUUGAACUCACACACAUUAAUACUGACUGUGGAGUGUGACAGUUUUGCACACUUAAGCAACAUCCUUUUAAUGAGUCAUGGUUACAGGGCCCUGUGUGUUUCAGUAAGGGCAUUGCUUCAGCUCUUAACCUCUCCCAAAUGUGUGACUUCCCUGAUCCUCUUGCUUUAAAUAUUGACAACAUUCAGCAUAGUCAUGCUCUUAUUGAUGCUUUAAUCAUCGUUUUUUAUUUUUUAAUGGAUUUUAUAACUAGGUGGAUUGAAUUAUUUUAAUGGAGUAUCUUUUUGCCAAAGAUGUGUAUUGAAAUCCAUUGUGAGCCAUGAUGGUGUGUUCUUUUCAGAUAGUCAGAUUGUGUUUUGUAAGCUGGCUUCUAGAGUAGUCUGUGAUAUUUUUGUGUUUAAACCAACCUAAUAAAGCUAGGAGGAGUGCAUUAAGAACACUCUAUGACAAAUUCUUGAGGUCAUGCUAAUGUUCUUUCUCAGAACACACAGUGAUGUUCAUUGGCUUUAGUUCCAAUUUAUUUCUUCCUGAGAAAAACUUGUGGCAUUGUGUUGAGUUGAGCACAUGAAAAAUUCAUAUCUGACUAAAAUAUCAAUAUUGUGUGACUCUGCUAGCCAAUUUGAAGUAUUAAGUGUACUGAAUCAGUCUGGUCUUUUGUCAAAACUUUCCUCGGUACAUGUGAAACUUAUUCAUUACCAUUGCAUGUAAGCGUUUUGUUGUUGAAAGAUGAAGGUUAUCUAUCUAUCU